GUAUGAUUUUUAUUUUUACUUUGGGCCCAGCCCGGUUUAAUAUCCUUAUGCAUGAUCUGGAUGAGGGGACUGAGUGUAUCCUCAGUAGGUUUAUGGAUGACACCGGGACAGGAAGAGGUGUCCAUCUGCCUGAGGAUAGGAUGGCCCUACAGAAGGAUCUGGACAGGCUGGGUCACCGGGCUGAGGCCAAUCCUAUGAGCUUCAACAAGACUGAGUGCCAGGUCCUGCACUUUGGUCACAACAACUUUGUGCAAUGCUGCUGCCUUGGGGCAGAGUGGCUGGAAAGUUGCACAGAAGAAAAGAAUCUCAGGAUGUUAGUUGACAGCCAGCUGAGCAUGAGCCAGCAGCGUGUCCAGGUGGCCGAUAAGGCCAAUGGCAUCCUGCCUUGUAUCAGAAAUAGUGCAGUCAGCAGGGCAGGGAGAUUCUGUACUCAGCACCAGUGGGCCGCACCUCAAGUACUGUGUUAAGUUUUGGGGCCCUCACUACAAGAAAGACAUUGAGGCCCUGAAGCAUGUCUAGAGAAGGGCAAUGAAGCUGUGAAGGAUCUGGAGCACAAAUCUUAUGAGGAGCAGCUGAGGGAAUCGGGAUUGUUCAGUCUGGAGAUGAGGAGGCUCAGGGGAGACCUCAUUGCUCUCUACAACUCCCUGAAAGGAGGUUGGGGUGAGGUGGGGAUCGGCCUCUUCUCCUGCAUCGCUAGCGAUAAAGGCAAGAGGGAAUGACCUUAAGUUGCGUCAGGGGAGGCUCAGGAGAUUAAGAAAAAUUUCUUCUCCAGAACAUGGUGAGAGUUCUUCUAUAGAAGAUGAUUGUUUUAGUUGUGUUAAAGAUUUUGCCUGAUCAUUGCAACUAACACCAGCUGAUACUUAAAAAUUGUCUAAGGCUUCAUGUUGCAUCAUGACUCAGCAGAAGGAACCAGUCUGAAUUGGAAAGGGAGAGGUUCCCAGAGCUCAACAAACAUAUUUCCAAUUCCAGAGAUCCUCAACCAGUAUUCCCCCAUUUUAAACUUCAU
ensembl:lncRNA